CAGCAGCCGCGGGAAUACGGAGGGCGCGAGCGUUACCCGGAUUUACUGGGCGUAAAGGGCGUGUAGGCGGCCUGGGGCGUCCCAUGUGAAAGGCCACGGCUCAACCGUGGAGGAGCGUGGGAUACGCUCAGGCUAGAGGGUGGGAGAGGGUGGUGGAAUUCCCGGAGUAGCGGUGAAAUGCGCAGAUACCGGGAGGAACGCCGAUGGCGAAGGCAGCCACCUGGUCCACUUCUGACGCUGAGGCGCGAAAGCUAGGGGAGCAAAUGGGAUUAGAUACCCCUGUAGUCCCUGUCUCUUAUAC
rnacentral:rRNA from 1 species